AUUGAACGCUGGCGGCAUGCCUUACACAUGCAAGUCGAACGGUAACAGGUCUUCGGAUGCUGACGAGUGGCGAACGGGUGAGUAAUACAUCGGAACGUGCCCAGACGUGGGGGAUAACGAGGCGAAAGCUUUGCUAAUACCGCAUACGAUCUAAGGAUGAAAGCAGGGGACCGCAAGGCCUUGCGCGUUUGGAGCGGCCGAUGGCAGAUUAGGUAGUUGGUGUGAUAAAAGCUUACCAAGCCGACGAUCUGUAGCUGGUCUGAGAGGACGACCAGCCACACUGGGACUGAGACACGGCCCAGACUCCUACGGGAGGCAGCAGUGGGGAAUUUUGGACAAUGGGCGAAAGCCUGAUCCAGCAAUGCCGCGUGCAGGAUGAAGGCCUUCGGGUUGUAAACUGCUUUUGUACGGAACGAAAAGGCUCUGGCUAAUACCUGGGGCACAUGACGGUACCGUAAGAAUAAGCACCGGCUAACUACGUG
rnacentral:rRNA from 1 species